rnacentral:rRNA from 1 species
AUGAACGCUAGCGACAGGCCUAACACAUGCAAGUCGAGGGGCAGCACAAGGAGCAAUCUGAGGUGGCGACCGGCGCACGGGUGAGUAACACGUAUGCAACCUGCCUGUAAGCGGGGAAUAACCCGUUGAAAGACGGACUAAUACCGCAUAAUACUAAAUUACUGCAUGGUAAUUUAUUUAAACAUUUAUGGCUUACAGAUGGGCAUGCGCAUGAUUAGCUAGUUGGAGAGGUAACGGCUCCCCAAGGCAACGAUCAUUAGGGGUUCUGAGAGGAAGGUCCCCCACACUGGUACUGAGACACGGACCAGACUCCUACGGGAGGCAGCAGUGAGGAAUAUUGGUCAAUGGACGAGAGUCUGAACCAGCCAAGUCGCGUGCAGGAAGAAUGUCCUAUGGAUUGUAAACUGCUUCUGCAGGGGAAUAAAGUGCAUCACGUGUGAUGUUUUGUAUGUACUCUGCGAAUAAGGAUCGGCUAACUCCGUGCCAGCAGCGGC